rnacentral:snoRNA from 1 species
UCCUCCUACAAAGGCGUGUCUGUGGUUCCCUGUCCUUGGACACGUAAGAAUUGGAGGCAAAGAAAUGUGGACUUGGAAAAGUCAGGAGCCGGCUUGCUCCUCGCAGGCUCAAGCUUACCCAUCCGACACUG